UGGGGAGUCGUCUAAUGGCAGGACAUUGCGCUCUGAACGCAAAGAUUCUAGGUUCGAGUCCUAGCUCCCCAGCCA
rnacentral:tRNA from 1 species